UAAUACAGAGGGUGCGAACGUUGCUCGGAAUUACUGGGCGUAAAGCGCGUGUAGGCGGGGUCGCAAGUCAGAUGUGAAAUCCCUGGGCUCAACCCAGGAACUGCAUCUGAAACUGCGAUCCUUGAGUACUGGAGAGGGUGGCGGAAUUCCUGGUGUAGAGGUGAAAUUCGUAGAUAUCAGGAGGAACACCGGUGGCGAAGGCGGCCACCUGGACAGUAACUGACGCUGAGACGCGAAAGCGUGGGGAGCAAACAGGAUUAGAUACCCUGGUAGUCCACGCCGUAAACGAUGAGUGCUAGGUGUCUCGGGUAUUGACCCCUGAGGUGCCGUAGCUAACGCGUUAAGCACUCCGCCUGGGAAGUACGGUCGCAAGACUA
rnacentral:rRNA from 1 species